CGCUACUCUCGCGCUCUUUGAAAGUGCGCGAGCUCUGACCGAGACCUGGGCCGGCGGUUGGUCGGCCGAAACCAUCUGCUACGUUACAUGGGGGGAGGUCAGCGCCUAUACAGCCACACUUUUUGCAAUCUUCAGCUUUUCAGGCCUAGGUCCUGGUUUUAUUUUAGCUUUCAGAGCUUCUCUGUAGGCUCGAAUUUCCAAGAGGCAGCCCGAGUCCCUGGGGAGAGGGUCAUCGUGGCUCUCCUCGGCGCCUUCCACCUCUGGACGGGCAACCGGUGGGAGAGGACGCCGGUGGGCGGGGGGAAGGAGGCGGCCCUAGCGCCAUUUUGUGGGAGCGAAGCGGUCGCUGGGCUGCGCUUGGGUCCGUCGCUGCCUCGGUGUCCCUGUCGGGCUUCCCAGCAGCGGCCUAGUGGAAAAGUAAAAGAUGUCUGAAUAUAUUCGGGUAACCGAAGAUGAGAACGAUGAGCCCAUUGAAAUACCAUCGGAAGACGAUGGGACGGUGCUGCUGUCCACGGUCACAGCCCAGUUUCCAGGGGCGUGUGGGCUUCGCUACAGGAAUCCAGUGUCUCAAUGUAUGAGAGGUGUCCGACUGGUAGAAGGAAUUCUGCAUGCCCCCGAUGCUGGCUGGGGAAAUCUGGUGUAUGUUGUCAACUAUCCGAAAGAUAACAAAAGAAAAAUGGAUGAGACAGAUGCUUCAUCAGCAGUGAAAGUGAAAAGAGCAGUCCAGAAAACAUCCGAUUUAAUAGUGUUGGGUCUCCCAUGGAAAACAACUGAACAGGACCUGAAAGAGUAUUUUAGUACCUUUGGAGAAGUUCUUAUGGUGCAGGUCAAGAAAGAUCUUAAGACUGGUCAUUCAAAGGGGUUUGGCUUUGUUCGUUUUACGGAAUAUGAAACACAGGUGAAAGUAAUGUCACAGCGACAUAUGAUAGAUGGACGAUGGUGUGACUGUAAACUUCCUAAUUCUAAGCAAAGCCAAGAUGAGCCUUUGAGAAGCAGAAAAGUGUUUGUGGGGCGCUGUACAGAGGACAUGACUGAGGAUGAGCUGCGGGAGUUCUUCUCUCAGUACGGGGAUGUGAUGGAUGUCUUCAUCCCCAAGCCGUUCAGGGCCUUUGCCUUUGUUACAUUUGCAGAUGAUCAGAUUGCGCAGUCUCUUUGUGGAGAGGACUUGAUCAUUAAAGGAAUCAGCGUUCAUAUAUCCAAUGCCGAACCUAAGCACAAUAGCAAUAGACAGUUAGAAAGAAGUGGAAGAUUUGGUGGUAAUCCAGGUGGCUUUGGGAAUCAGGGUGGAUUUGGUAAUAGCAGAGGGGGUGGAGCUGGUUUGGGAAACAAUCAAGGUAGUAAUAUGGGUGGUGGGAUGAACUUUGGUGCAUUCAGCAUUAAUCCAGCCAUGAUGGCUGCUGCCCAGGCAGCACUACAGAGCAGUUGGGGUAUGAUGGGCAUGUUAGCCAGCCAGCAGAACCAGUCAGGCCCAUCGGGUAAUAACCAAAGCCAAGGCAACAUGCAGAGGGAGCCAAACCAGGCCUUCGGUUCUGGAAAUAACUCUUAUAGUGGUUCUAAUUCUGGUGCAGCAAUUGGUUGGGGAUCAGCAUCAAAUGCAGGGUCGGGCAGUGGUUUUAAUGGAGGCUUUGGCUCAAGCAUGGAUUCUAAGUCUUCUGGCUGGGGAAUGUAGGCAGUGGGGUUGUGGUUGGUUGGUAUAGAAUGGUGGGAAUUCAAAUUUUUCUAAACUCAUGGUAAGUAUAUUGUAAAAUACGUAUGUAUUAAGAAUUUUCAAAAUUGGUUUGUUCAGUGUGGAGUAUAUUCAGCAGUAUUUUUGACAUUUUUCUUUAGUAAAAGGAAGAGCUAAAGGAAUUUUAUAAGUUUUGUUACAUGAAAGGUUGAAAUAUUGAGUGGUUGAAAGUGAACUGCUGUUUGCCUGAUUGGUAAACCAACACACUACAAUUGAUAUCAAAAGGUUUCUCCUGUAAUAUUUUAUCCCUGGACUUGUCAAGUGAAUUCUUUGCAUGUUCAAAAUGGAAACCAUUGAUUAGAACUACAUUCUUUACCCCUUGUUUUAAUUUGAACCCCACCAUAUGGAUUUUUUUCCUUAAGAAAAUCUCCUUUUAGGAGAUCAUGGUGUCACAGUGUUUGGUUCUUUUGUUUUGUUUUUUAACACUUGUCUCCCCUCAUAUACAAAAGUACAAUAUGAAGCCUUCAUUUAAUCUCUGCAGUUCAUCUCAUUUCAAAUGUUUAUGGAAGAAGCACUUCAUUGAAAGUAGUGCUGUAAAUAUUCUGCCAUAGGAAUACUUCUGUCUACAUGCUUUCUCAUUCAAGAAUUCGUCAUCACGCAUCACAGGCCGCGUCUUUGACGCCCUGAAUGCAAAGAAUUCAUAGCAGUUAAUUCCCCUUUUUUGACCCUUUUGAGAUGGAACUUUCAUAAAGUUUCUUGGCAGUAGUUUAUUUUGCUUCAAAUAAACUUAUUUGAAAAGUUGUCUCAAGUCAAAUGGAUUCAUCACCUGUCAUGCAUUGACACCUGAUACCCAGACUUAAUUGGUAUUUGUUCUUGCAUUGGCCAAAGUGAAAAGUUUUUUUUUUUGUUUUGUUUUUGUUUUUUGUUUUUGUUUUUGUUUUUCUUUUGAAAUCUAGUUUUGAAUAAGUCUGGGUGACCGCACCUAAAAUGCACUUGCACUAUUACUCAGCAGCAGUAACAUGGUAACACUUAAAAUGGUACUCGGGGACCUCCAAAGACUAAACUGACAAGCCUUCAAGAAGCCCAGGGGUAAGUUAACUUGUCAACGGCAUGGUUUAAUCCCUUCUUUACACUUGUGUAAAUUUCAGUUACUGGUCUUAGAAGGCUUUCAAUGUUGAGUAGCCUUUUAUUAACAUGUUUAUGGUACUGCAUAGAUACGGGUAUUUAUUUUACCCUAAAAAGAUUUUGAAGUUUAGAAGUACUUAAACUAUUUGGCAAAGAUUUGUUUUUAAAAAUCUAUUUGGUCAUCUAAAUGCAUUCAUUCUAAAAAAUUUUUUGAACCAGCUAAAUAAAAAUUUUUUUUGACACCACAGUUUAGUGUCUGGAGUCUUACUGGAAAAACACGAUUUCUUUUUAUAUGUGACAUACAGAUGCUGGAAAGUUACCUUUAAAAAUUGAGUCUAAAAAAAGAAAAUAAAAAUUGAGUCUCAAGAUGUUGUACUUUAUACUUUAUAUGCACAAGAGAAAUGAGGCCAAGACUCACCGUAAACUUUUACAUGGAAUGUUAACUGUUAGACUGAAAAACUUGAAUGUUAGCUAUUCAAACCUUUUAGGAAGGAAUAGCCAGCUAAAAUGAAAUGAGAUUUUUAAGGUUAAAUCAGCACUUAAGUUUUGUC